GAGGCCCGAGGCAGAGAAGGCCGGUGGGGGCGGGGAGGGAGGUGACGCGCCCCUAGCCCGGUUCGCGUACGCGCUCGCCGCGCCAUCUGCGCGCUCGGGAAGAGCGCGAUUAUCCGCUUGACUCAUCCAGCCCGUCCCCCAGCGUACGCACGCUGGGCCUGGCCUCCUCCGGGCCUCCUUGGGCCUCCAGCGGCUGGGGGCGGGGGCGGGGAGAGGCGAGUGCGCGGCGCUGGGUGGCGGGGCGUGCGCCUCCAAGGGCUGGACAGAGUUCCGUGCCGGUGACGGCCACAGGAGGCCGGAAUGGAGACCCGGGUUUUGUUUUUUGAGAUUUAAAGCGGCGAGGAAGGGAGCGAAAGGGCUCGAGGUUUCCUUGGGGGGGGGGGGACUGUGAGGCUCGGGGACACCUUUCAACCAGCAUCUUUACGAGCUACGCACUCUCCUUUCCACUUUAUGGAUGAGAAAACUGAGUCAUAAAGAGGUGAAAUGGUGAGGAUGGGGUCAGAGGACAGCUCACUCCCUCCAGCUCAAGUUCCGGGCACGCCAGGCACACUAAAAGACACUUGGCUGGAACGUGGCUAGGUGCCAAGGAAUGGAGCGACGCGGUGGGACCCUCGUUCCCAGAAAAGUACACACCGAGCCCUAGCGGCGGCUCUGGCCCCGCGGAGGAGAAAGGGAAGAGCACUUCGUAGUUUCACUCUCAGAACGCUGCCCCCCACCCCCUCCUUAGUUUGCGAGCAGUAAUUUUCCAGCCGGGAAAUGUUUUCAACUUCAUCUCUGCAAACAGUACCUUUUUUUUUUUUAAACGUGAGUGCGGUGUUCAGUAUCACUUGCUGAACGUAAAUUUGCGAGGUGUUUAUUUUGUAUUCAGGCUCCACCCGCGCUCUACCAGCCGAGCCCCUCACCAGCGCUGCUGCCGCUUUCGGCCACAGACAGCCAGCCGGGGAAGAGGGGGCUAGGGAGCCGGAGAGAUGCUCCAAGCACCGGGCAGCGUGUGCGCGCUCCCCUUUUAGAGCUCCGAUUGCCACGUACUCGUCACCUGUUUGAAUCCUGCGAUCCUGGUACCUAUUAGGUUUCUUCGGAAUAUUUGUUAUCCCUGAUUUUUCCACUCCUCGCCGACCACACAAGCAUUCUUGGAAUGUAUUUCUCCCCAGUGAAUCGAGUCGGCCCAUUCUGCCAAAGGCAGGAAUCCCUCUUAAGAUCAGAGCACGGGACGCCUUUGAGGAUGACUACCAUCCUCUAGUUUUGCUUUGGCCAAGAGGGCUUGCAGCUGGGGCGAGGGGCGUGCCUUGGCAGGGCAACCGGAGGCCCUCCCUCUGGUGGCCUCCAGCAGUUCAGCCCCACCCCCAAAGGACAUGGGUAGCUACACUACAAUACUUUAACUCUGAGAAUACUGCCCUUUCAAACGGAGGAAGCAAGAGAAAACACCUGCUAUCUUACUCUGUACCCCUUUCAUUGUGAUGGCAGAAACUACUUGGGGAACUAGGACCUGAAGGCUCCGAGGAAAGAUAGGCACGUUUCCAUGCAGACCAAGGUCCCUAAACUCUAGUGAACUUGGGUGAGCCCUUGGUUGGCAGCCCUCAAACUUGGGAUGUAAACACGAAAGUCAGGACUUGCUCCAUUAACCCUUCCUCCUCAGAAAAAUAACCUAACCGUAACCAGCAGAGUGAAAAAACAAUACUGCGCAGAUGAAUUUGGAAGCCACUAUUAUUACAUCAUAUAAUCAAGACAAGAUUCUGAAACCCAGUUGAAAAAGAAGUUUACAAACAGCUUUUGGAAGGAUGGAAGCUGGGGCCUCUUUGUGGUAGGCAACUAUCUGGUUAUUCCUGACUGCAUCAUAAAGGGGAAUCUCUCUAUUCACCCCAAAGGGAAGGAACUUGGAGCUGCUAUCUCAUCUCCUUUCAUGACAGGUGCCUGCUGUGACAACAAGGCUAUGACCCUCCCUCUCUUCAGAACAGAAAGAGGAUGACCCUGAGCCACAGAAACUGGUCAAGAGUCAGACAGGAUAAUCCAGGCAUGGUGUCACACACCUGUGAUUCCAGCACUCAGAAAGCUGAGGCAGGAGGCUCACCAAGAGUUGGAGGCCAGCCUGGGCUACAAACAGUGCCGGCAAUUGAACCCAGGACCUUUUAUGGUAGAGAAGAGCCAAUUUAAAUUUGACUUCAUCUUCUUGUGGCUUAAAUGUUGACCGAGGACACGGUCACUGCGAGGGCUAUGGGUCAUGUAGCAUCUCCCUUGCCUCGCGCUCCAUACACGCCAUUCAGCUCCAUCUGUCCUCCAAGCAGCUCUGCAAGAGUCCCCUGUACAACUCACACUCCACUGGGGGAGCACGGGCAGUUGGAGCCAGCACAGGGCACGGUACUCAUGGCUCUUUCUGGACACGGGGUCCAAAAGUUUCCACACAGAUGCACAAGAUGGACGGCCAAGAUUUUGUACUCUGAAGUUCACUGCCUCAGCCCAGUUCUGCUGCAUAUCAGAUUUGAAGGACUUCCCAUCUGCCGCCUGCCUUUCCAACAGCACUUCACUCCUGCCCUCGCUUGUACCUGGAAACCAGGACCUCCUCUAAGGCUGGAUGCUGCUCCUCCCUUCCCUCGAGCCCCUCCUGAAAGACUUUUGGGCACAGCCUCGCUGCCAGCCUGUCGCUCUGUAAACCCAGACACAUGUAAUGAUGGCAAACCCAUGGCACAUGUAUUGUUUUUCUUUUAAGACAAGAGUUGGUAAUGUGUGAGUUGUUUUUUCUAAACUAAAACCUCAGUAUUCAGGUUUAAUUGUAGUGCUGGCACUUGGCAGUAAGUGGGUUUUGGGUUGCAGUUUGGGCACUCAUCUCUAAAAGGUUUGCCAUCACUGACACAGGGAAGCCCAGGUCAAUAUGGAAUGACUCCUUUUGCUUACCACUGGGCUGGUGUAUGUCACAAACCAAUACCAAGCCUAUGAACAUUUGUCAGUCAUCUGCUGUGUGCCAAACACUAGUCCAGGAGGAGAUAGGCUGUAUUUCCUUGAGUUUGGACACACUUUAUUCCCCUGAUAGUUUAACAUCUUUAAAAUGGGGGGGGGUAGGCAUUGCAGUCAGGGCUCUUACAAUUGCCACUGGACCCUUGUUAGUCACAGAGUAUUAAUGCCCUGGUCAGUUGAUUUCACAUAGAUGAGCUGAGCAUGUGGGUAUGUGCUUGUAAUCCUAACACUCUGGGAGGCUGAGGCAGGAGAAUCACAACCUGGGCAGC